AAUGAACGUUGGCGGCGUGGAUUAGGCAUGCAAGUCGAGCGUGUACCCCGCAAGGGGGAAAGCGGCGAAAGGGAGAGUAAUACGUGGGUACCUACCCUGGGGUCUGGGAUAGCUACGGGAAACUGUAGGUAAUACCGGAUGAUGUCCCCGGACCACAGGUGUGAUUCCGCCCUAGGAGGGGCCCACGGCCUAUCAGCUUGUUGGGGAGGUAACGGCUCACCAAGGCAACGACGGGUACGGGGUGUGAGAGCAUGCCCCCGCUCACUGGGACUGAGACACUGCCCAGACACCUACGGGUGGCUGCAGUCGAGAAUCUUCGGCAAUGGGCGCAAGCCUGACCGAGCGACGCCGCGUGCGGGAUGAAGGCCCUCGGGUUGUAAACCGCUGUCAGUGGGGAGGAAAGGCAUGGGGGUUCUCCCUCGUGUUUGACCUAUCCGCAGAGGAAGUACGGGCUAAGUUCGUGCCAGCAGCCGCGGUAACAC
rnacentral:rRNA from 1 species